ensembl:lncRNA
CACACAACAAUUCCCCCUCUCUCUCUCUCCCUCUCUCAUUCCCUCUCUCAUUCCCUCUCUCUCUCUCCCUCUCUCAGUCCCUCUCUCUCUCAGUCCCUCUCUCAUUCCCCCUCUCUCUCAUUCCCUCUCUCAUUCCCUCUCUCUCUCUCUCAUUCCCUCUCUCUCUCUCUCAUUCCCUCUCUCUCUCUCUCUCAUUCCCUCUCUCUCUCAUUCCCUCUCUCUCUCUCUCUCUCAUUCCCUCUCUCUCUCAUUCCCUCUCUCUCUCAUUCCCGUCUCUCUCUCUCUCAUUCCCUCUCUCUCUCUCUCACCCUCUCUCUCUCUCUCCCUCUCUCUCUCUCAUUCCCUCUCUCUCUCUCUCUUCCCUCUCUCAUCUCUCUUCCCUCUCUCUCUCUCUCAUUCCCUCUCUCUCUCUCUCUUCUCUCUCAUUCCCUCUCUCGCUCUCUCAUUCCCUCUCUCGCUCUCUCAUUCCCUCUCUCUCUCAUUCCCUCUCUCUCUCUCUCAUUCCCUCUCUCUCUCUCUCAUUCCCUCUCUCUCCUCUCUCAUUCCCUCUCUCUCUCUCUCAUUCCCUCUCAUUCCCUCUCUCUCUCUCUCUCUCUCUCUCAUUCCCUCUCUCUCUCUCUCAUUCCCUCUCUCUCUCUCUCAUUCCCUCUCUCUCUCAUUCCCUCUCUCUCUCAUUCCCUCUCUCUUCUCAUUCCCUCUCUCUCUCUCAUUCCCUCUCUCUCUCUCUCAUUCCCCCUCUCUCUCUCUCCUCAUUCCCUCUCUCUCUCUCUCUCUCUCUCUCUCUCUCUCAUUCCCUCUCUCUCUCUCUCAUUCCCUCUCUCUCUCAUUCCUCUCUCUCUCUCAUUCCCUCUCUCUCUCUCAUUCCCUCUCUCUCUCUCUCAUUCCCUCUCUCUCUCUCUCAUUCCCCUUCUCUCAUUCCCUCUCUUCUCUCUCAUUCCCUCGCUCUCUCUCUCAUUCCCUCUCUCUCUCAUUCCCUCUCUCUCUCUCUCUCUCUCUCAUUCCCUCUCUCUCUCAUUCCCUCUCUCUCUCUCAUUCCCUCUCUCUCUCUCUCUCUCUCUCUCUCAUUCCCUCUCUCUCUCUCUCUCUCUCUCUCUCAUUCCCUCUCUCUCUCUCUCUCAUUCCCUCUCUCUCUCUCAUUCCCGCUCUCUCUCAAGUGCUGGAAAACACCCCCACACACAUCCACAUUCUAACAGUAAAAUAACACACAACAAUUCCCCCUCUCUCCUCUCUCCCUCUCUCAUUCCCUCUCUCUCAUUUCCCUCUCUCAUUCCCUCUCUCUCUCUCCCUCUCUCAUUCCCUCUCUCUCUCAUUCCCUCUCUCAUUCCCCCUCUCUCUCUCUCAUUCCCUCUCUCAUUCCCUCUCUCUCUCUCUCAUUCCCUCUCUCUCUCUCUCUCUCAUUCCCUCUCUCUCUCAUUCCCUCUCUCUCUCUCUCUCAUUCCCUCUCUCUCUCUCAUUCCCUCUCUCUCUCAUUCCCUCUCUCUCUCUCUCAUUCCCUCUCUCUCUCUCUCAUUCCCUCUCUCUCUCUCUCAUUCCCUCUCUCUCUCUCUCUCUCUCUCUCUCUCAUUCCCUCUCUCUCUCUCUCAUUCCCUCUCUCUCUCUCUCAUUCCCUCUCUCAUUCCCUCUCUCAUUCCCUCUCUCUCUCUCUCUCAUUCCCUCUCUCUCUCUCUCAUUCCCUCUCUCUCUCAUUCCCUCUCUCUCUCAUUCCCUCUCUCUCUCAUUCCCUCUCUCUCUCAUUCCCUCUCUCUCUCUCUCAUUCCCUCUCUCUCUCUCUCUCUCCAUUCCCUCUCUCUCUCUCUCAUUCCCCCUCUCUCUCUCUCUCUCUCUCUCUCUCUCUCUCUCUCAUUCCCUCUCUCUCAUUCCCUCUCUCUCAGUCCCUCUCUCUCUCUCUCUCAUUCCCUCUCUCUCUCUCUCUCAUUCCCUCUCUCUCUCUCAUUCCCUCUCUCUCUCUCAUUCCCUCUCUCUCUCAUUCCCUCUCUAACUGUUUACGAUACACACAAGAGCUAG